AGCAAUGAACCUAUUUGAAGUAGCCCAUUUCGUACCCAAGAAGCCUAUGUAUGAACAAGGAUUGAUUUUACUUCCCCACCUAGCUACUCUAGGUUGGGGGUAGGCCCUGGGGAUGAAGUUAUAGACACCUUUCCAUACUUUGUAUCUAGAGUAAUUCAUUUAAUUUCUUCUGCAGUAUUGGGCUUUGGCGGCAUUUAUCAUGCACUUCUGGGACCUGAGACACUUGAAGAAUCUUUUCCCUUCUUUGGUUAUGUCUGGAAAGAUCGAAAUAAAAUGACCACAAUUUUAGGUAUUCACUUAAUCUUGUUAGGUCUAGGUGCUUUUCUUCUAGUAUUCAAGGCUCUUUAUUUUGGGGGCGUAUAUGAUACCUGGGCUCUGGGAGGGGGAGAUGUAAGAAAAAUUACCAACUUGACCCUUAGCCCGAGUAUCAUAUUUGGUUAUUUACUAAAAUCUCCUUUUGGAGGGGAAGGAUGGAUUGUUAGUGUGGACGAUUUAGAAGAUAUAAUUGAAGGACAUGUAUGGUUAGGUUCCAUUUGUAUACUUGGUGGAAUCUAGCAUAUCUUAACCAAACCCUUCGCAUGGGCUCAACGCGCACUUGUAUGGUCUAGAGAGGCUUACUUAUCUUAUAGUUUAGGGACUUUAGCCAUCUUUGGUUUCAUUGCUUGUUGUUUUGUCUGGUUCAAUAAUACCGCUUAUCCUAGUGAAUUUUACGGACCUACUGGACCAGAAGAUUCUCAAGAUCAAGCAUUUACUUUUCUAUUUAGAGACCAAUGCCUUGGGGCUAACAUGGGAUCUGCUUAAGGACCUACUGGUUUAGCUAAAUUUCUAAUGCGUUCCCCAACCGGAGAAGUCAUUUUUGGAGGAGAAACUAUGCAUUUUUGGGAUCUACGUGCUCCAUGGUUAGAGCCUCUAAGGGGUCCAAAUAGGUUAGACUUGAGUACCGAGAUCAGUGCAGUCAAUUAUGUCUCUCCUAGAAGUUGGUUAGCUACCUCUCAUUUUGUUCUAGGAUACUUCUUCUUCGUAGGUCAUUUGUGGCAUGCGGGAAGGGCUCGUGCAACUGCAACAGGAUUUGAAAAAGCAAUUGAUCAUGACCUUGAACCUAUUCUUUUCAUGACCCCUCUUAAUUGAGAUGAGACAGGAGAUCCAAUGCUUGAAUGAAGUACAAAUCACUUUGAUUCAAUCAUACAUCUUGGAAUCAGCUUAAGUAUUCUUUUUUUCUUUUUUUUUUUCCAACUCAUUUUAUCUAAUUUAUAGUGAAUCUAUUUUUUUGGCUUGGAUAGGUGAGAUAGCCGAGCCAUUCCCCUUUCAUUCGGAUAGCAGAUUGGGCGAAACCACUAAAGAAAAAAAUCUAUUCAAUUAGCAAAAAAGGAGAGAGAGGGAUUCAAACCCUCGAUAGUUCUUUGUUCAAAACUAUAUCGGUUUUCAAGAUCGGGGCUAUCAACCACUCAGCCAUCUCUUCAAAAGACUAUUUUUAUUUUAUUCCUCCGAAUAGAACAUGGCUAUAGAGGUGGAUACCCCCACUAUCUGUAGAAAGAUCUCAGGUGCGAACCCACCGGUCGAUCUAUCUAUCUGUAUAUAGAUAUAUGAUCUAGCAUGCCCCUUUGUGAAAUAAAAAAUAAAAUUCCAUUUAUAUCCUCUCUCCGCACCACUCCAUGUACGAAUAUAGUGUGAAAGGGGUAGUAGUAAUAAGUCAUAUAGAAUCAAUGGAUUCAUGAUAAAGUAAAAUCCCUCGAUGACAUAUUUUAUCACAAUUAAUAUUUUUUGGCUGGUAGAGGGAUCAAAUGGUAUAUAGUUCAUUUGUUGGUAGCUUGGAGGAUUAAAAGCAUGACUCUUGCUUUCCAAUUGGCUGUUUUUGCAUUAAUUGCUACUUCAUUAAUCUUAUUGAUUAGCGUACCCGUUGUAUUUGCUUCUCCUGAUGGCUGGUCAAGUAACAAAAAUGUUGUAUUUUCUGGUACAUCCUUAUGGAUUGGAUUAGUCUUUCUGGUGGGUAUCCUUAAUUCUCUCAUCUCUUGAACCUAUUCGUCGCAGACCCAAAAUGCCCCCCUAAUUUUUCUCGGUUGUGAGACACAUUAAAUUUGAAUCUAAGUCCCCAAAGAAAAUGCAAAUCAAAUAAAGAAAACACAAAAAUUAGAGGGGGGUCAAACUUCUUGAAUAAAAAGAAUACAAUUAAAAAAAUAAUUGGAAUCGUUCCGAAGAGAAUAUGUGUCCCGGCACUGCACAAAUAAGAUCCGGUUAUAUAUCAUAUAUGUGGGUACAUAUUGUGUAUCAAGAACAAAAAAAUGCGGAUAUGGUCGAAUGGUAAAAUUUCUCUUUGCCAAGGAGAAGAUGCGGGUUCGAUUCCCGCUAUCCGCCCAAGAUCCAAGAUAAGGUAAUUUUUUUAAUAUUUAUUAUUUAAUUUCAUAAAUAGCAUCAAAUAUAUCAUUAAAUUAAGGAUUUGGUAUAGUUGACCAUGAUAGUGUAGUGAUUCUAUCCCAUCCCUACAUUUUCUUUUGCCUUCCAC
rnacentral:lncRNA from 1 species